UACGUAGGGGGCGAGCGUUGUCCGGAUUCAUUGGGCGUAAAGCGCGCGUAGGCGGCUCGACAAGUCGGCCGUGAAAUCUCCAGGCUUAACUUGGAGGGGUCGGGCGAGACUGUCGGGCUCGAGGUGGGCAGAGGGCAGUGGAAUUCCGGGUGUAGUGGUGGAAUGCGUAGAGAUCCGGAGGAACACCAGUGGCGAAGGCGGCUGCCUGGGCCUGGCCUGACGCUGAGGCGCGAAAGCGUGGGGAGCGAUCCGG
rnacentral:rRNA from 1 species